rnacentral:rRNA from 1 species
CGGAACGGGUGAGUAACGCGUGAGGAACCUGCCUCAAAGAGGGGGACAACAGUUGGAAACGACUGCUAAUACCGCAUAAGCCCACGGCUCGGCAUCGAGCAGAGGGAAAAGGAGCAAUCCGCUUUGAGAUGGCCUCGCGUCCGAUUAGCUAGUUGGUGAGGUAACGGCCCACCAAGGCGACGAUCGGUAGCCGGACUGGGAGGUCGAACGGCCACAUUGGGACUGAGACACGGCCCAG